rnacentral:rRNA from 1 species
AGAGCGAACGCUGGCGGCAGGCCUAACACAUGCAAGUCGAGCGCCCCGCAAGGGGAGCGGCAGACGGGAGAGUAACACGUGGGAACGUACCCUUUGGUUCGGAACAACACAGGGAAACUUGUGCUAAUACCGGAUAAGCCCUUACGGGGAAAGAUUUAUUGCCAAAGGAUCGGCCCGCGUCUGAUUAGCUUGUUGGUGAGGUAACGGCUCACCAAGGCUACGAUCAGUAGCUGGUCUGAGAGGAUGAUCAGCCUCACUGGGAUUGAGACACGGCCCAGACUCCUACGGGAGGCAGCAGUGGGGAAUAUUGGACAAUGGGCGCAAGCCUGAUCCAGCCAUGCCGCGUGGAUGAUGAAGGCCCUAGGGUUGUAAAGUCCUUUCGACGGGGAAGAUAAUGACGGUACCCGUAGAAGAAGCCCCGGCUAACUUCGUGCCAGCAGCCGC